rnacentral:rRNA from 1 species
UGGUGGUGAAAUCCCAGAGCUUAACUCUGGAACUGCCAUCAAAACUUUUCAGCUAGAGUUUGAUAGAGGAAAGCAGAAUUUCUAGUGUAGAGGUGAAAUUCGUAGAUAUUAGAAAGAAUACCAAUUGCGAAGGCAGCUUUCUGGAUCAUUACUGACACUGAGGAACGAAAGCAUGGGUAGCGAAGAGGAUUAGAUACCCUCGUAGUCCAUGCCGUAAACGAUGUGUGUUAGACGUUGGAAAUUUAUUUUCAGUGUCGCAGCGAAAGCAAUAAACACACCGCCUGGGGAGUACGACCGCAAGGUUAAAACUCAAAUGAAUUGACGGGGACCCGCACAAGUAGUGGAGCAUGUGGUUUAAUUCGAAGAUACGCGCAGAACCUUACCAACACUUGACAUGUUCGUCGCGACUUUAAGAGAUUAAAGUUUUCGGUUCGGCCGGACGAAACACAGGUGCUGCAUGGCUGUCGUCAGCUCGUGUCGUGAGAUGUUGGGUUAAGUCCCGCAACGAGCGCAACCCUCACUUUUAGUUGCCAUCAUUUAGUUGGGCACUCUGAAAGAACUGCCAGUGAUAAGCUGGAGGAAGGUGGGGAUGACGUCAAGUCCUCAUGGCCCUUACGUGUUGGGCUACACACGUGCUACAAUGGUAUUUACAACAGGAAGCAAAACGGCGACGUUAAGCAAAUCCUUAAAAAAUACCUCAGUUCGGAUUGCACUCUGCAACUCGAGUGCAUGAAGCUGGAAUUACUAGUAAUCGUGGAUCAGCGUGCCACGGUGAAUGCGUUCCCGGGUCUUGUACACACCGCCCGUCACACCAUGGGAGUUGGUUCUACCUUAAGGCAAGGUUUAAAACCCUUGACCACGGUAUAGUCAGCGACUGGGGUGAAGUCGUAACAAGGUAGCCGUA